rnacentral:misc_RNA from 1 species
AACCAUAGAAACCUGCGGAGUACCUGCGGAAGGAUCAUUACAAGAAUCGAGGCUGACGGUGCCUACUCCCUAGGCUCCGUCCAGUCCCGCUCUCUACCUUGCCUACUGCGCCGUUUGUUGCUUCCUGGCGGCGUCCCGUCGCCAGGGCCUUUUGAAAGCCAAGUAUAAGCAUUGAAACUUCUGACAUACACUAAAUCGUACAACUUUUAACAAUGGAUCU